GAACUUUCCAGAGAUGGACUGGUGCCUUCGGGAACUGUGAGACAGGUGCUGCAUGGCUGUCGUCAGCUCGUGUUGUGAAAUGUUGGGUUAAGUCCCGCAACGAGCGCAACCCUUAUCCUUUGUUGCCAGCGAUUAGGUCGGGAACUCAAAGGAGACUGCCAGUGAUAAACUGGAGGAAGGUGGGGAUGACGUCAAGUCAUCAUGGCCCUUACGACCAGGGCUACACACGUGCUACAAUGGCGCAUACAAAGAGAAGCGACCUCGCGAGAGCAAGCGGACCUCAUAAAGUGCGUCGUAGUCCGGAUUGGAGUCUGCAACUCGACUCCAUGAAGUCGGAAUCGCUAGUAAUCGUGGAUCAGAAUGCCACGGUGAAUACGUUCCCGGGCCUUGUACACACCGCCCGUCACACCAUGGGAGUGGGUUGCAAAAGAAGUAGGUAGCUUAACCUUCGGGAGGGCGCUUACCACUUUGUGAUUCAUGACUGGGGUGAAGUCGUAACAAGGUAACCGUAGGGGAACCUGCGGUUGGAUCACCUCCUUA
rnacentral:rRNA from 1 species